rnacentral:lncRNA from 1 species
GUUACAGAGCCGGGGAACCGCAGAGCUGGGAUUCAAACCUCAGUGAGCUCAGAAUCUCGCUGAUGGUUAUCUCAGGGUCUGGCCCCUCUCAUCCCCCUUGUGGGUCUCCUGGAUUAUCAUUGGAUUCCUUUGACUUGCCCAUCCUGGCUGGCAUCUAGACACACUCAGUCUGGGCUCCCCCCAGAGCAGACUCCGAGGCAAGGAUUUGGAGGGAAGCCCCUUGUUUAGCAGGAGAUCCAGGAAGUGGAACAGGAAGGGGGAAGUGAGAGGAGAGGAAAGCCAAUAAAGGAUGCAUUCAGGAGUGGGGUACCACUGUGGGCAACAGGGAUGCCUUUCUGCUGGGCCGUCUGGGAAGCUGUGCAGAUUACACUUGGGGGGCUCCACCCGAGGGACAAGGGAGCUGGGGUGCACAGGAAUGAACGGAUUCCCUCAGGCACUCAUCCAGGAGAGCUCAGUAUUAUCACCAGGCUGGCCAGACCUUCCCCACCAGACUGUUCCCCUCCCUGCUGUCGUGGACAUGGGCCACCAUAUUUGUAAUGUAGCUUCAUCCUUCCAGGACACCUGCUGCCCUUCAUGUACAUAUUUAUGUACUCAAGAACAAUAAAUAAUGGGUAGG